CGCGUAGGCGGUGUGUCAAGUCAGGCGUGAAAGCCCCGGGCUCAACCUGGGAACGGCGCUUGAGACUGGCACGCUCGAGUUCGGGAGAGGAUGGUGGAAUUCCCAGUGUAGAGGUGAAAUGCGUAGAUAUUAGGAGGAACACCAGUAGCGAAGGCGGCUUUCUGGACUGUAACUGACACUGAGGCACGAAAGCGUGGGGAGCAAACA
rnacentral:rRNA from 1 species